rnacentral:rRNA from 1 species
UACGGGGGGGGUAAGCGUUGUUCGGAAUUACUGGGCGUAAAGGGUCUGUAGGUGGCCAACUAAGUCAUCCGUGAAAUCCCUCAGCUUAACUGGGGAACUGCGUGUGAUACUGGUCGGCUUGAGUGCAGGAGAGGAACGCGGAAUUCCAGGUGUAGCGGUGAAAUGCGUAGAUAUCUGGAGGAACACCGGUGGCGAAGGCGGCGUUCUGGACUGUAACUGACACUGAGAGACGAAAGCCAGGGGAGCAAACGGG